CUUUUAAACUUCCUGGUCUUCCAGAAUAUGCUGUCAACCUAAAGUUUAAAAAGUCCGCUUUAAACCAACAAGAAAUUAACAGAUUGUUAUUGACCUGUGGUAGCUGGUAUUAACGCCAUGAUGACACCCUUUGAAAUAAGCUGAAGUUUCAACUGGAGUUUGUUGAAGGAUAUUUUGUAGUUGACAGUUUCAGAACUAGAACCAACAGACAUCUGGGACUUUUGGAUAAAAUGGAAAGUUGGGAUGAGAAACUUAGUACAGCUGCUGGGGAGGGAAAUCUUCAAGAUGUGGAAUUAUCUUUAGAAAAUGGAGCUAAUUUGGAAUAUAAAACAGGUUAUG